rnacentral:rRNA from 1 species
AGCAGUGGGGAAUAUUGCACAAUGGGGGAAACCCUGAUGCAGCGACGCCGCGUGAAGGAAGAAGUAUCUCGGUAUGUAAACUUCUAUCAGCAGGGAAGAAAAUGACGGUACCUGACUAAGAAGCCCCGGCUAACUACGUGCCAGCAGCCGCGGUAAUACGUAGGGGGCAAGCGUUAUCCGGAUUUACUGGGUGUAAAGGGAGCGUAGACGGAAGAGCAAGUCUGAUGUGAAAGGCUGGGGCUUAACCCCAGGACUGCAUUGGAAACUGUUUUUCUAGAGUGCCGGAGAGGUAAGCGGAAUUCCUAGUGUAGCGGUGAAAUGCGUAGAUAUUAGGAGGAACACCAGUGGCGAAGGCGGCUUACUGGACGGUAACUGGCGUUGAGGCUCGAAAGCGUGGGGAGCAAACAGGAUUAGAUACCCUGGUAGUCCACGCCGUAAACGAAGAAUACUAGGUGUCGGGUGGCAAAGCCAUUCG